rnacentral:rRNA from 1 species
UAAUACGGAGGGUGCGAGCGUUGUCCGGAAUCACUGGGCGUAAAGGGCGCGUAGGCGGCUGGGGUAGUCUGUGGUGAAAGCUCGUGGCUCAACUGCGAGUCGGCCAUGGAUACUCCUCGGCUUGAGCACUGUAGAGGCAGGUGGAAUUCCGGGUGUAGCGGUGGAAUGCGUAGAGAUCCGGAAGAACACCGGUGGCGAAGGCGGCCUGCUGGGCAGUAGCUGACGCUGAGGCGCGACAGCGUGGGGAGCAAACAGGAUUAGAUACCCUGGUAGUCCACGCCGUAAACGAUGGGCACUAGGUGCUUGGGGGAGCGACCCCUUGAGUGCCGGCGCUAACGCAUUAAGUGCCCCGCCUGGGGAGUACGGCCGCAAGGCUG